AAGGAAGUGCUGCUGGUCCUGGAGCGACCUGUACCAUGCAAGGACCUGUGUGACUUCCUGGAGGAUGAAGGGGACUGGCUGGUGGAGGACGAGGCCAAGGUCAUCAUGAGGCAGUUGGUGGAGGCCACGCUGGACAUCCACUCGAGGGGCGUGGUGCACCACGACCUCAAGCCCAAGAACGUGCUGGUCGAGACAAGCUCGGGGCAGCCGCGGGUGCACGUUAUCGACUUCGGCUGAGGUAGCGUGCUCCGUGAGAAGCCCUACACCAGCUUCAGCGGCACCCGCGCCUACACCGCCCCCGAGUGGUACCAGAAACAUGAGUUCUACACUGGGCCUUCCACCGUCUGGCAGCUGGGGGUGGUCCUCCACCAGAUGUUAACUGGGGAGAGACCCUUCAAUGGAAAAAAGGAGAUUGUCCACAAGCAGCUGGAUCUCUGGAGCUUUCUCUCUGGAGACUGCCAGGACCUUCUCCACCGCUGCCUUGAUAAGCGGCCUCUGGCCAGGCCCACCAUGGCCGAAAUUCUCCAGCACCCCUGGCUCCAGUGACGCCUCCAGCCAGACCAGGAAGAAGGGCCUUGAGCACAGCGCACCUGAGGGACGGGCUGAGAGCCGAAAACAGAAACAUUCGAUCACUUCAGUGCUGCUUCAUGACACU